CCCUCGCCUCAGGCGCCGCUUCCGCCGGAAGAACGCGCGGCGACCAAUCAGCGCUCGCAGAGCCUCGCUAAAUCCCGCCCUCCCGGCUGUGGAUUGCGGUUGGGCUCGCCUCCUGCCUCGCGCUGUGCUGACAGCUUCGCUAGCCAAUCAGAGAGCGAGAUGAAGGCUAACCCCGCCCUCCCUGCUUGUCCUGUUAGCCAAUCAUGGGCUGGCUAAGCAACAGAGAGGCGCGCCCACCGCGUGCCCGGCGGCGACCAAUCACAGCCGCAGCUCCCGCUGGGGGGCGUGCCCCGCCCACCACCACCCUCUUACCCAAUCACGCCCGGGGGCAGAGCGGAUUGGCGUGCGCGCGAGCCAAUAGGGAACGAGAGGAGGCGGGGCAGACACGCUUUAUUGAUAUAGGGGAGACCGGGCCAUGACCCCAUUGGGGGGGGGGGGGGGGGACAUUUUGGGGUCCCCCUGCUCUGGGGGUCCCCAGCGGGGGUCCCCGCUUUUUGGGGUGCCCCCAUGGUGUCCGUACCCCCAGGGGAACCCCACUUUGGGGGGUCCCCGCUCUGGGGAUACCCCCCAGGGGGCCCCAUUUUGGGGGGUCCCCUUAUUGGGGUGCCCUAAUUUUGGGGUGUCACCCCCGGGGACCCCUUUUUGGGGUGACCCCGGUGCCCCUGGAUCCCCAGGGGGUUCCCUCGAGUGUGUCCGUACCCCUUGGGGUCUCCCAUUUUUGGGGUGUCCCCAUGUACCCCCAUGGGACAUCAUUUUGGGGCCCCCCCUUUUGGGGUCCCCCGCUUUUGGGGUGACUCCAUUUUGGGGUGUCCCCCCUUUUGGGGUGUCCCCUUUCUCUCUGUCCCCCCAGGAGGGCCCACAUUUCGGGGUGUCCCCAGACCACGUGUACCCAGAGUCCCCAUUAUGGGGUGACCCCCUUCUAGGGGUACCCCUAUGGGGGUGACCCCCAUUUUUGGGGUGUCCCCGGUAUGUCCGUACCCCACGGGACCCCAUUUUGGGGUGUAACCGUUUUCGGGUGUCCCCAUUCCAGCUGUACCCCCAAUAAGUCCCCUUUUUGGGGUGUCCCCAGUCUAUGCAUACCCCCAAGAGGGGUCCCCAAUUUUUGGGGUGCCCCUACUGUGUCUGUACCCCCCGGGGGACCCCAUUUUAGGGUCCCCUUUGUGCGUGUACCCCCAUGGGGACCCCAUUUUAGGGUGUCCCCUGUCCCUUUAUACCCCCAGGAGGCCCCAUUUUGGGGUCCCCAUUCCACCUACACCCCCAAAGGGGGGGUCUCCAAUUUUUGGGGUGUCCCUCGUGGAUUCCUGACACCCCCAUUUUGGGUUUUCCCCAGCCCCUUCAUACCCCAAGGCUCAUCCCCACACUUUUGGGGUUUCCCCAGUCUCUUGGGGAAAAACCCCCAAUUUUUGGGUGUGAGGUCCCCGAAUUUUCAGGGAGAAGCCCCCAAAUUUUUGGGGAGAAGUCCCCAAAUUUUCAAGGAGAAGUCCCCAAAUUUUCAGGGUGAGGUCCCCAAAUUUUCGGGGAGGGAUCCCCAAAUUUUCUGGGGUGGGAUCCCCAGAUUUUUGGGGUGUCCCCCCCCCGUUUUAGGGCUGCAUGCGCAGGGCCCCGUCCAGCCUCACCACCUCCCCGUUGAUCAUCGGGUUUUCGGCCAGCGCCUGCACCAGGUGGGCGAAUUCCCCCGGGUGCCCCAAACGGGACGGGAAGGGCACCUGCUGCCCCAAAAAGUUCCGAACCCGUUCGGGCAAACCGGCCAGCAACGGGGUGGAGAACAACCCUAAAAGGGACAAAAAAAAGGGGGUGAGUCGGUUACCCUAUACCCUUUUCCACCCUAAAAAUAAAGGGGGUGAAGCGUUUGCCCUAUAACUUUUC
rnacentral:lncRNA from 1 species